rnacentral:tRNA from 1 species
AGCUCGAUAGCGCAACGGUAGCGCAUCCGUUCCCUAGACAGGAAGAUCUCGGUUCGACUCCGAGUCGAGCUA